rnacentral:rRNA from 1 species
UACGGAGGGUGCAAGCGUUGUUCGGAAUUAUUGGGCGUAAAGGGCGCGUAGGCGGCGGCGUGUGCCGGGUGUGAAAUCCGUGGGCCCAACCCACGAAGUGCACCCGUAACUGCGGCGCUGGAGUGCGGGAGGGGGGAUCGGAAUGCAGGGUGUAGCGGUGAAAUGCGUUGAUAUCCUGCAGAACACCGGUGGCGAAGGCGGAUCCCUGGAACGCUACUGACGCUGAGGCGCGAAAGCAGGGGGAGCAAACAGG